UACGUAGGGUGCAAGCGUUGUCCGGAAUUAUUGGGCGUAAAGAGCUCGUAGGCGGUCUGUCGCGUCGAAUGUGAAAACCCGGGGCUCAACCCCGGGCCUGCAUUCGAUACGGGCAGACUAGAGUUCGGUAGGGGAGUCUGGAGUUCCUGGUGUAGCGGUGAAAUGCGCAGAUAUCAGGAGGAACACCGGUGGCGAAGGCGGGACUCUGGGCCGAUACUGACGCUGAGGAGCGAAAGCGUGGGGAGCGAACAGG
rnacentral:rRNA from 1 species